AGCUAAUACCGGAUAAUAUUUUGAACCGCAUGGUUCAAAAGUGAAAGACGGUCUUGCUGUCACUUAUAGAUGGAUCCGCGCUGCAUUAGCUAGUUGGUAAGGUAACGGCUUACCAAGGCAACGAUGCAUAGCCGACCUGAGAGGGUGAUCGGCCACACUGGAACUGAGACACGGUCCAGACUCCUACGGGAGGCAGCAGUAGGGAAUCUUCCGCAAUGGGCGAAAGCCUGACGGAGCAACGCCGCGUGAGUGAUGAAGGUCUUCGGAUCGUAAAACUCUGUUAUUAGGGAAGAACAUAUGUGUAAGUAACUGUGCACAUCUUGACGGUACCUAAUCAGAAAGCCACGGCUAACUACGUGCCAGCAGCCGCGGUAAUACGUAGGUGGCAAGCGUUAUCCGGAAUUAUUGGGCGUAAAGCGCGCGUAGGCGGUUUUUUAAGUCUGAUGUGAAAGCCCACGGCUCAACCGUGGAGGGUCAUUGGAAACUGGAAAACUUGAGUGCAGAAGAGGAAAGUGGAAUUCCAUGUGUAGCGGUGAAAUGCGCAGAGAUAUGGAGGAACACCAGUGGCGAAGGCGACUUUCUGGUCUGUAACUGACGCUGAUGUGCGAAAGCGUGGGGAUCAAACAGGAUUAGAUACCCUGGUAGUCCACGCCGUAAACGAUGAGUGCUAAGUGUUAGGGGGUUUCCGCCCCUUAGUGCUGCAGCUAACGCAUUAAGCACUCCGCCUGGGGAGUACGACCGCAAGGUUGAAACUCAAAGGAAUUGACGGGGACCCGCACAAGCGGUGGAGCAUGUGGUUUAAUUCGAAGCAACGCGAAGAACCUUACCAAAUCUUGACAUCCUUUGACAACUCUAGAGAUAGAGCCUUCCCCUUCGGGGGACAAAGUGACAGGUGGUGCAUGGUUGUCGUCAGCUCGUGUCGUGAGAUGUUGGGUUAAGUCCCGCAACGAGCGCAACCCUUAAGCUUAGUUGCCAUCAUUAAGUUGGGCACUCUAAGUUGACUGCCGGUGACAAACCGGAGGAAGGUGGGGAUGACGUCAAAUCAUCAUGCCCCUUAUGAUUUGGGCUACACACGUGCUACAAUGGACAAUACAAAGGGCAGCGAAACCGCGAGGUCAAGCAAAUCCCAUAAAGUUGUUCUCAGUUCGGAUUGUAGUCUGCAACUCGACUACAUGAAGCUGGAAUCGCUAGUAAUCGUAGAUCAGCA
rnacentral:rRNA from 1 species